CCUACGGGUGGCAGCAGUGGGGGAUAUUGCACAAUGGGGGGAACCCUGAUGCAGCGACGCCGCGUGGGUGAAGAAGCGCCUCGGCGCGUACAGCCCUGUCAGCAGGGAAGAAAAUGACGGUACCUGAAGAAGAAGCCCCGGCUAACUACGUGCCAUCAGCCGCGGUCAUACGUAGGGGGCAAGCGUUAUCCGGAUUUACUGGGUGUAAAGGGGGCGCAGUCGGCAAUGCAAGCCAGGAGUGAACGCGCGGGGCCCAACCCCGGGACUGCUGUUGGCACUGCGUGGCUGGAGUGCAGGAGGGGCAGGCGGAAUUCCUGGUGUAGCGGUGAAAUGCGUAGAUAUCAGGAGGAACACCGGUGGCGAAGGCGGCCGGCUGGACUGCAACUGACGUUGAGGCCCGAAAGCGUGGGGAGCAAACAGGAUUAGAUACCCGAGUAGUC
rnacentral:rRNA from 1 species